UACGUAGGGUGCAAGCGUUGCCCGGAUUUAUUGGGCGUAAAGGGCGCGUAGGCGGCCCGGCGCGUCCGCGGUGAAAGCUCCCGGCUCAACUGGGAGAGGUCCGCGGAAACGGUCGGGCUGGAGCAAGGUAGGGGGUCGUGGAAUUCCCGGUGUAGUGGUGGAAUGCGUAGAGAUCGGGAGGAACACCAGUGGCGAAGGCGGCGACCUGGACCUGUGCUGACGCUGAUGCGCGAAAGCGUGGGGAGCGAUCCGG
rnacentral:rRNA from 1 species